UGGGGAAUAUUGGACAAUGGGCGAAAGCCUGAUCCAGCCAUGCCGCGUGUGUGAAGAAGGUCUUCGGAUUGUAAAGCACUUUAAGUUGGGAGGAAGGGCAGUAAGCGAAUACCUUGCUGUUUUGACGUUACCGACAGAAUAAGCACCGGCUAACUCUGUGCCAGCAGCCGCGGUAAUACAGAGGGUGCAAGCGUUAAUCGGAUUUACUGGGCGUAAAGCGUGCGUAGUCGGCUAAUUGAGUCGGAUGUGAAAUCCCCGAGCUUAACUUGGGAAUUGCAUUCGAUACUGGUUAGCUAGAGUGUGGGAGAGGAUGGUAGAAAUCCAGGUGUAGCGGUGAAAUGCGUAGAGAUCUGGAGGAAUACCGAUGGCGAAGGCAGCCAUCUGGCCUAACACUGACGCUGAGGUGAGAAAGCAUGGGGAGCAAACAGG
rnacentral:rRNA from 1 species